CUGGGAUUAUGGACCUGUACCACCAUGCCUGGCAAAAGUUGACAUGUGGAAUAGGGAGCUGGGAUGGCCAUCCUGGGCCAAUACAAACAAGACACACUGAAGAUGCCAGAGAAAGAAAUCUACAUUCUGUGAUGACACUUGACUUCUAACUUUGUUCACUUAAGAGGCUCCUCUACUGCCAGCUUCUUAUUUUUUGAUAAUAUAUCAUUUCUCCCAUUUUCUUGGCAGGGCUUCCUGCUGUCUCAGCCAUAACUGGCCUCCAUGAUGGGAUUGUCAUGGAGGUCAGGCUGUAUCAUGCCCAGGGAGUGCAAUCCAAAGGCCAGAAGCCUAUCCAUGACCACAGAGUAAAACGAUCUGACUUUGUGGGUCUCGUGAUCACUCUCACUUUACUCAACUCUGCUUUUGUGGCUGAUAAGUAACCUUAGUUCAUAUGGCAAUAGAGGGGUCAAGUGUGCUUAACAAAUGUAUGUACAAAGCAAGACCUAAGGCAGAUGUGCCCGCAGACAACAGGUUGACAGCUCCUGCCAUAGUGGAGAGCCCAUGGCUUCUUCUGGAAUUACACUAGAACUUCCUGAAGCACAUCUCAUUAUUCUGGUUGUGUCUUACAGUACAUACUUCAGCAUUUGGAUUGAGUAUAUUUAGUCAUUUAUACAACCCAGUUUUCUCAUUAGCACACUAUAUCCAUGAAAAGAAAGGUCUUGGUCUUAUAUAACCACCUAAAAUAGUGCUCAAAAACUUAAUAAAAGUAUGUGUCCUUAA